rnacentral:lncRNA from 1 species
UAUUGAACUAGACAAACUAUAUACAACUUUAUUUUUUCUGUCACUUCCUAUUGAACUAGACAAACUACAUACAACUUUAUUUUUUCUGUCACUUCCUAUUCAGUAUAAUGAGAUUAGAGGUGCAUGUGGAGAAUUGUUUUGCAGACCCCGAAAGAGACGCAAGAUGACACGAUGCAGAUGUUAUGGCUGGGAAGAGAAGAGCACCGUGACCGGACGAAAGCAUCCGUGUCGUAGACCUGCCAGAAAAUUUGGGAAGGCACCAAUAGAAAUGGUUGUUCAAAGAUAGCCGUCCUAUAUAAAUUCACAAAGCCACCGAUGAAGUUCGAAAAAAGAAAAACACCGAUGAACAUAUUACGAUAUGAGCAUAUGAUAUACGAAUCAAACUAAAUGGAGAAUGUACACACUGACAACAGGACACAAUUCAUGUCAUGAAGGUUCUUGAUUGCUUGCAAAGAGCCUGCCGAUAUAAGAGCCGCGCGAUUCAUAUGAUCCGCGAAUAUACUAUUCAUUACAAAAUAGAUGCCCUGAACAAACCAAAUAACAGGACAAUCCCAAAGUGGUACUACCUUAGAGCUACCUGGAAGGACUGAAUAAUUGCACUGGCAUUCACAAGUCAAUAUCCUAAGACUAUUAACAUUGUAGAGUGCAGAUCAAUUAUCAAAUGGCAUCACAAUUCCUAACAACAUGAAGUAAUACCCGCAGCACAAACAACAGCAUAAGCACGUCGAACUAUAGUAUUUACGCAGUCUCAGAAGGACAAGCAGUCCAAGUCAUCACUGUACUCGUCAAGCCAUCUGAAAUGAAGAUUACGCAGUACCAGGUUCUUGUCGCCGAAGUUGGUUCCUCUUCAGGGUUGAUGGCUCAUUCAGCAUUGAUGAGGAACUUGCGAAUGGCAGCACAAUGAGUACGAAGUUGCCGGACCUGUAAAUUGAAAGUAGGGGCAGCACCUUGGAAGAACGUGUUGGCCUCACACUCUGUUUGAAGAUUCUUAAUACGCAGAGUAAGAUUGUAGAGCUUAAUCAGGUCUCUGUUCAGGUGCAGCUCAAUUGCGUCACCAGACUCCAUAGCCUCCAUGAGGAGGACAAAAGAACCAUCGGAACGUACCUAUUAUCUAAUAGAGAAAAGUAGGAAUUUUGAGGGGAGGGGGUCAUGUUGAGGCAAGAAUUUGGUAUGGAAAGGAGGGAGCAGGAGCUCUCAAAAAGAAGAACAGGGAGCAGGCAGGGAAGAAUAGCCGUUGGGAGAAGAAGAAGACGGGG